GUGCCAGCAGCCGCGGUAAUACGUAGGUGGCAAGCGUUGUCCGGAUUUAUUGGGUUUAAAGGGUGCGUAGGCGGUCCCAUAAGUCAGUGCUGAAAUAUCCCGGCUUAACCGGGAGGGUGGCAUUGAUACUGUGGGACUUGAGUAAAGUUGAGGUUGGCGGAAUUGACGGUGUAGCGGUGAAAUGCUUAGAUAUCGUCAAGAACACCUAUUGCGAAGGCAGCUAACUAAGCUUUAACUGACGCUGAGGCACGAAAGUGUGGGGAUCAAACAGGAUUAGAAACCCGUGUAGUCC
rnacentral:rRNA from 1 species